UCCGGAUCUUCUGCCAUACAUUCCUGCCAUACAUUCCUGCAGUGCUAUACAAAACGACGUCGUCUUGGCGUUAAAUUCAAAUUUUUUUUUUUUUUUCCAUUUCUCUCUCAAUCGUUGAGACAGCCCUAACCCUUCAAGAGUGAGCCGACUCGAACGGUUCCUCUGACGCAGAGGAGGGUGAGCAACGACGACUCCGGAGGCGACAGCGGCUGCAGCUGGGCGAGGGUUGCAGCCCAACAAAGUGUACUAUUUAUCAAUGUGGAGUUCUAUACCAGCAAUGAGUAAUGUGUCCUACAAAUGCAACACAAAGAAGUGAUGGAAUUAUAGGAGAAAGAGUUGUGCUAUUGCAAAGUGAACUUGUAAGAAUCUGAGAGUGUUAGUGGACAACUUUGAUUUUUGACCACGAAGAUGCAACAAGCAAUAAACCUUUGAAUGUGUAAUUGGUGUUACUUGUAAUUGCUAUUAUUUUAAUUAUGAAGUAACUACGUUUCAAUGUUGUAAUUGACUAGUUUGAUUUUUGGAAUGGUUGGGAAUAUAGAACUUUUGAAAUUUGUGAAAUUUGAAAUGCUGUUGCUAUUAUUGAAAUAGUUGGGAAUUUAGAGAUUUCGAAAAAUGUUAAUUUUGAAA